rnacentral:rRNA from 1 species
ACGAACGCUGGCGGCGUGCUUCACACAUGCAAGUCGAACGGAAAGGCCCUGCUUGCAGGGUCCUCGAGUGGCGAACGGGUGAGUAACACGUGGGUGAUCUGCCCUGCACUUCGGGAUAAGCUUGGGAAACUGGGUCUAAUACCGGAUAGGAACCAUCUUUAGUGUGGUGGUUGGAAAGUUUUUUCGGUGUAGGAUGAGCUCGCGGCCUAUCAGCUUGUUGGUGGGGUAAUGGCCUACCAAGGCGGCGACGGGUAGCCGGCCUGAGAGGGUGUACGGCCACAGUGGGACUGAGAUACGGCCCAGACUCCUACGGGAGGCAGCAGUGGGGAAUAUUGCACAAUGGGCGCAAGCCUGAGGCAGCGACGCCGCGUGGGGGAUGAAGGCCUUCGGGUUGUAAACUCCUUUCGCUAGGGACGAAGCUUUGUUGUGACGGUACCUAGAGAAGAAGCACCGGCUAACUACGUG